rnacentral:rRNA from 1 species
ACGAACGCUGGCGGCAUGCCUAACACAUGCAAGUCGAACGAACCCUUCGGGGUUAGUGGCGCAUGGGUGCGUAACGCGUGGGAAUCUGCCCUUUGCUUCGGAAUAACUCAGGGAAACUUGUGCUAAUACCGGAUGAUGUCUUCGGACCAAAGAUUUAUCGGCAAGGGAUGAGCCCGCGUAGGAUUAGGUAGUUGGUGGGGUAAAGGCCUACCAAGCCGACGAUCCUUAGCUGGCCUGAGAGGAUGAUCAGCCACACUGGGACUGAGACACGGCCCAGACUCCUACGGGAGGCAGCAGUGGGGAAUAUUGGACAAUGGGCGCAAGCCUGAUCCAGCAAUGCCGCGUGAGUGAUGAAGGCCCUCGGGUCGUAAAGCUCUUUUACCAGGGAUGAUAAUGACAGUACCUGGAGAAUAAGCUCCGGCUAACUCCGUG